rnacentral:rRNA from 1 species
AUUGAACGCUGGCGGCAUGCCUAACACAUGCAAGUCGAACGCGAAAGAGGGGCAACCCUUGAGUAGAGUGGCGGACGGGUGCGUAAUACGUAGGAAUCUGCCCUAAAGUGGGGGACAACCACGCGAAAGCGUGGCUAAUACCGCAUAAUCUCGAGAGAGUAGAGGUGGGUAGCAAUACCUAUCGCUUUAGGAUGAGCCUACGCCGGAUUAGCUAGUUGGUAGGGUAAUGGCCUACCAAGGCAACGAUCCGUAGCUGGUCUGAGAGGACGACCAGCCACGCUGGGACUGAGAUACGGCCCAGACUCCUACGGGAGGCAGCAGUGGGGAAUAUUGGACAAUGGGGGAAACCCUGAUCCAGCAAUGCCGCGUGUGCGAUGAAGGCCUGCGGGUUGUAAAGCACUUUCGUUGGGGAAGAAAUACUUGUAGCUAAUACCUGCAAGGGUUGACGUUACCCAAAGAAGAAGCACCGGCUAACUCUGUGCCAGCAGCCGCAGUAA